rnacentral:rRNA from 1 species
CACGCAGGCGGCUCGAUAAAUUAGAAGUGAAAGCCUUGGGCUUAACCUAAGAAUUGCUUUUAAGACUGUCGAGCUAGAAUCCAGAAGAGGGUAGUGGAAUUCCAAGUGUAGAGGUGAAAUUCGUAGAUAUUUGGAAGAACACCAGUGGCGAAGGCGACUACCUGGUCUGGCAUUGACGCUCAUGUGCGAAAGCGUGGGGAGCAAACAGGAUUAGAUACCCUGGUAGUCCACGCCGUAAACGAUGGGUGCUAGUUGUUGGGGACCAUAGGUCUUCAGUGACGCAGCUAACGCAUUAAGCACCCCGCCUGGGAGUACGGCCGCAGGUUAA